rnacentral:lncRNA from 1 species
GCAUUGCAACCCUACCACAGUGUUAUGAAACUUGUGAUCGAUAAAAAAAACCACUUUUAUGGUAAAAAUGAAAACAAAGUAAAGUUAGAAGAAUGAAAUGCAAUAGAAAUUAUGUCAAUUUUCCACACUGAAAAUGGAAAAAAAUAACAAUAUAAUGGGAACGCGAUGAAUCUCACUGUUAAAUGUAGUAUCUCAGAUCACCUUUUUCAAAUCACAAGUCACCCUCCUCUCUCUCAAUCCCUCUCUUCCCCUCAAAAUUCCUUCAAAUUGAAGUCUCAUCUUUCUCAAUUUUCAGCAACCGAAUUUUCAGCCUAGAGGUUAAUAUGUUACGUGGGAUGUUGUUUUGAGUGGAGGGGUAUGGAAGUAUUUCAAUUUACAUAAAAGGGUAAAGUAGGAAAAACAAAGCAGCAUCUCCUAGAUGGAGACUGACAAAAAUAAAACCCAAAACACAGGGAAACUACAACUAUGAACAUCAUAGUUACUAUAGGCACAUAAAUACAAGGGAGAGUUAUGGAAGUGAAUUAAAU